ACUAAGCGUACACGGUGGAUGCCCUGGCAGUCAGAGGCGAUGAAGGACGUGCUAAUCUGCGAUAAGCGUCGGUAAGGUGAUAUGAACCGUUAUAACCGGCGAUUUCCGAAUGGGGAAACCCAGUGUGUUUCGACACACUAUCAUUAACUGAAUCCAUAGGUUAAUGAGGCGAACCGGGGGAACUGAAACAUCUAAGUACCCCGAGGAAAAGAAAUCAACCGAGAUUCCCCCAGUAGCGGCGAGCGAACGGGGAGCAGCCCAGAGCCUGAAUCAGUGUGUGUGUUAGUGGAAGCGUCUGGAAAGGCGCGCGAUACAGGGUGACAGCCCCGUACACAAAAAUGCACAUGCUGUGAGCUCGAUGAGUAGGGCGGGACACGUGGUAUCCUGUCUGAAUAUGGGGGGACCAUCCUCCAAGGCUAAAUACUCCUGACUGACCGAUAGUGAACCAGUACCGUGAGGGAAAGGCGAAAAGAACCCCGGCGAGGGGAGUGAAAAAGAACCUGAAACCGUGUACGUACAAGCAGUGGGAGCACGCUUAGGCGUGUGACUGCGUACCUUUUGUAUAAUGGGUCAGCGACUUAUAUUCUGUAGCAAGGUUAACCGAAUAGGGGAGCCGAAGGGAAACCGAGUCUUAACUGGGCGUUAAGUUGCAGGGUAUAGACCCGAAACCCGGUGAUCUAGCCAUGGGCAGGUUGAAGGUUGGGUAACACUAACUGGAGGACCGAACCGACUAAUGUUGAAAAAUUAGCGGAUGACUUGUGGCUGGGGGUGAAAGGCCAAUCAAACCGGGAGAUAGCUGGUUCUCCCCGAAAGCUAUUUAGGUAGCGCCUCGUGAACUCAUCUCCGGGGGUAGAGCACUGUUUCGGCAAGGGGGUCAUCCCGACUUACCAACCCGAUGCAAACUGCGAAUACCGGAGAAUGUUAUCACGGGAGACACACGGCGGGUGCUAACGUCCGUCGUGAAGAGGGAAACAACCCAGACCGCCAGCUAAGGUCCCAAAGUCAUGGUUAAGUGGGAAACGAUGUGGGAAGGCCCAGACAGCCAGGAUGUUGGCUUAGAAGCAGCCAUCAUUUAAAGAAAGCGUAAUAGCUCACUGGUCGAGUCGGCCUGCGCGGAAGAUGUAACGGGGCUAAACCAUGCACCGAAGCUGCGGCAGCGACGCUUAUGCGUUGUUGGGUAGGGGAGCGUUCUGUAAGCCUGUGAAGGUGUGCUGUGAGGCAUGCUGGAGGUAUCAGAAGUGCGAAUGCUGACAUAAGUAACGAUAAAGCGGGUGAAAAGCCCGCUCGCCGGAAGACCAAGGGUUCCUGUCCAACGUUAAUCGGGGCAGGGUGAGUCGACCCCUAAGGCGAGGCCGAAAGGCGUAGUCGAUGGGAAACAGGUUAAUAUUCCUGUACUUGGUGUUACUGCGAAGGGGGGACGGAGAAGGCUAUGUUGGCCGGGCGACGGUUGUCCCGGUUUAAGCGUGUAGGCUGGUUUUCCAGGCAAAUCCGGAAAAUCAAGGCUGAGGCGUGAUGACGAGGCACUACGGUGCUGAAGCAACAAAUGCCCUGCUUCCAGGAAAAGCCUCUAAGCAUCAGGUAACAUCAAAUCGUACCCCAAACCGACACAGGUGGUCAGGUAGAGAAUACCAAGGCGCUUGAGAGAACUCGGGUGAAGGAACUAGGCAAAAUGGUGCCGUAACUUCGGGAGAAGGCACGCUGAUAUGUAGGUGAAGCGACUUGCUCGUGGAGCUGAAAUCAGUCGAAGAUACCAGCUGGCUGCAACUGUUUAUUAAAAACACAGCACUGUGCAAACACGAAAGUGGACGUAUACGGUGUGACGCCUGCCCGGUGCCGGAAGGUUAAUUGAUGGGGUUAGCGCAAGCGAAGCUCUUGAUCGAAGCCCCGGUAAACGGCGGCCGUAACUAUAACGGUCCUAAGGUAGCGAAAUUCCUUGUCGGGUAAGUUCCGACCUGCACGAAUGGCGUAAUGAUGGCCAGGCUGUCUCCACCCGAGACUCAGUGAAAUUGAACUCGCUGUGAAGAUGCAGUGUACCCGCGGCAAGACGGAAAGACCCCGUGAACCUUUACUAUAGCUUGACACUGAACAUUGAGCCUUGAUGUGUAGGAUAGGUGGGAGGCUUUGAAGUGUGGACGCCAGUCUGCAUGGAGCCGACCUUGAAAUACCACCCUUUAAUGUUUGAUGUUCUAACGUUGACCCGUAAUCCGGGUUGCGGACAGUGUCUGGUGGGUAGUUUGACUGGGGCGGUCUCCUCCUAAAGAGUAACGGAGGAGCACGAAGGUUGGCUAAUCCUGGUCGGACAUCAGGAGGUUAGUGCAAUGGCAUAAGCCAGCUUGACUGCGAGCGUGACGGCGCGAGCAGGUGCGAAAGCAGGUCAUAGUGAUCCGGUGGUUCUGAAUGGAAGGGCCAUCGCUCAACGGAUAAAAGGUACUCCGGGGAUAACAGGCUGAUACCGCCCAAGAGUUCAUAUCGACGGCGGUGUUUGGCACCUCGAUGUCGGCUCAUCACAUCCUGGGGCUGAAGUAGGUCCCAAGGGUAUGGCUGUUCGCCAUUUAAAGUGGUACGCGAGCUGGGUUUAGAACGUCGUGAGACAGUUCGGUCCCUAUCUGCCGUGGGCGCUGGAGAACUGAGGGGGGCUGCUCCUAGUACGAGAGGACCGGAGUGGACGCAUCACUGGUGUUCGGGUUGUCAUGCCAAUGGCACUGCCCGGUAGCUAAAUGCGGAAGAGAUAAGUGCUGAAAGCAUCUAAGCACGAAACUUGCCCCGAGAUGAGUUCUCCCUGACUCCUUGAGAGUCCUGAAGGAACGUUGAAGACGACGACGUUGAUAGGCCGGGUGUGUAAGCGCAGCGAUGCGUUGAGCUAACCGGUACUAAUGAACCGUGAGGCUUAACC
rnacentral:rRNA from 1 species